CUUGACCACACGUGCCGUUUUAUUUAUUGACGUACCUACAAAAUUGCUUGGUACUUUGAUACUGAAUAUUUGCUUCAUUUAGUUACUUGAUAAAGCUAAUUAUUUGCUAAUCUUAAUAGCUGUCAAGCAGAUAAAUGAGCAAAUUUAUCGAAUUCCGACUAACCACUUAUAAGUGAAAGUGCCGUAUUGCGGGAUGUUUCAAGCAUACUCUGUUCAAAAGAUUUGAAUCCAUCAACUUCAAAAAAUCAUGGACUGUUCGUGAUUUUUGAGAGAAAAAAAGGAAUCCAGUGCCAAAUUUAUGACAUCCAGAAAGUUGAAAUUAAUUAAGUACCUAUCAUGAAUUCAUGAUUCAUGACUUGAUACUAUAGAAGCAGAAGCUGACGUCAAUAACAUUACCUACACAAUAUGUUGCAACAUUUAUACAGCUAACCUUCGAUGCUACAGUACAACCUUCUAGAAGAAUCAGAACAAACAGGACUUGAUUACCCAGCUUUUGAGGUAUAUUGCGCAACAUGAUGCAAAAAAAAUAUGAUGAAAUAUCUGACAAACUUUUCAUUUUCAAGAAGGUUGCAUUAAAGUCACUGGAUUGAAACGCUCUAUUGCCAGCAAGAUUGUAAAGCAUGAUGCAAUAUUCUAUUUUUUUACACAUGUUCUUUUUGGUUUUCGCUUGCAAUCAGAACGUUUUUUAUCUUUUAGUUUUAUUUGAAUUUUGUAUAGAACAUUUUUCUAAAAUUACAUGUUUAUUAUUUCAGUGUUAAGCAUAGGCUUUAAAAAUUCAUUGAAGAUUUUCAAUUUUUGAACUUUUUUUAAAGGCAGACCUAAAGACCCCAAGGGGCAAGGACAAGUACUAGGUGAUGGUUACAGGUCCAUUUUAGUUCCUAAGAGCUCUAUGAACUCAGUUGUAAGGCAUAUAAUAUUAAUUUGAGAUCUGAAAAAUUUUAUAACAAAACCAUCGCAAAACAUAUAAGGAAAAAUUUGUGACUUUAAAAUAUAAAUUGUGGAACUUCAUAUAAAUUGAAAAUUAAACCCCGCUUUUUAUUAUACAGUCAACUUUUACGGAAAAAUUUGUCUUCUUUACAGAAGACGAAAAAUAGAAAUGAAAAAUAAUUUUAUGAAAUACCUAUGUAUCCAAAAUUUUACAAUUUCUUGAAUUCUGAUGAAAAAAAACAACAAUUUUUUCAGUAGAGUAGAACUUGAACUUCUCGAUACCAAAGUCGGCGUAGAAUUUCAAAGCUUUUAUUUUAGUUGGUGAUUCCUGGUCAAUCUUUUAUCUUCUGGCGAGAUUGAUUUUGCAGUUUUAUCAGUAUAUUUUGAUGGAUGGACUAUUAAUUGAAUUUUUAAAACAUUUCGAUUUCACACGGGUUUUGAAUCAAUUUUAGAUCCUACCUUUUUAAAUUAUUUCAUUAAUGCUUGGUGUUUUGUAAAGCAGGGAUUAUUUUAAGGAUUUUUUGGAGCUACACAACCAGCACAAUAAUUUUUAAUAUCAAAAUUUUUUCAAAUUGUCCCUCCAAUUUUUGGUUCUAAGAGUACACAACAAAUUUUUGCAACUACUUAGUCUAGCCAUAAAUACUGUUAUCAACUUUGAACGCAUGUAAUACAAAAAUCAAAUUUUAAAAACGUAAAAGUGAUUAUUAUGUAUAUUCAGAAAGUAGAUGAAAAAUGCUGCAAUUAGACAUUAUGGUAGGGGAAAGAGUUUAACAAAACGGGAAAGGCACAAAAAAUGAGACCCUUGUACGCAAAAGGAAAAAAAAUUGAUCAAAAAAUGUUUUUCAAAUUUUUUUACUAAAAUAAUAAUUUUGUGCUCCAUCACCAUAUUAUUAUUUCAAUUUAAAUUUUGAAAAAUUGAUGCACAUAAGCAAUUUUUUUUGGCUUUCCACGUACAUGGACCCUCCGUUAUUUAUUUUAUGUGCCAUUUCUGUUUUGUUAAACCCCUUGACCAGCAUGUUUCAACAAAGUAUAGUCAAAUUGCAGGUUUUUCCGAAUAUAUGUACAUUGUAUAAUCGCUUUUACAUGUUCAAAAUUUUGUUUUUGUAUUACAACUUACAAGCGUAUAACACUACAAAGUACUGACAGUAUUUAUGGCUAGAUUGUGUACACAAAAUGUGCGGAGCUACACAUUAAAAUAAUUCCCUGUUAUAAAGCGGAUAGCAAUGAUAACAUACAUUAAAUUAUGAUACAAUCAAAUACCAUUAUGAAAAAAAAAAAAAAAUAACAUUACAUGAGGGUGUUGCUUAUCUUCAAUAUUAAUAUUAAAGAGGCAAUGAAUGGAUUACAUGAGCGGAUUGAGACCACAUAGAAUGCACCUCAAUUUCACUAUAAAAAAAUACAAUUACAAUAAAGUUUUCAGUUCUGAAAAAUCAGAAAAAUGUGCCAAGUUCAGAUGAAAUAUGCUUAUAAAGAAACAAUUUGAUUUGUAAUCAAAAGUCAGGAAUCAUGAUAAAUAGUCAAGUAAAUUAAAUACCUACCUUAAUUGAAAAGUUGAUUAAAUUUUAAAAUUUUAUACUAAAAAAAUGAUAAUCAUAAAAAAGGCAUUGAGUAAUAAUUCAAAUUUGUUUACAUUAAAUUUAAUUAAAAAAUUAAUUUAUAGAAAUUAUACCUACUUCAAUUUUUUUAAAUUCAAAGUUUUCAUUUUUAGUUGAAGGAAAUUCAUAUAGCUACCAACCACUAUGGUAACACUAAUAUUUAUCAUUUUAAAUUUAGUUACAUUCUUUUAAUUAAUUUUAUUGAAUGUGGAUUCAUUUUUCAAUUGAAUUGAAUUCAGUUGUAUUUUUAAAAAUAUUUUAUUAAAAAUUAAUAAAGAUUUAUUCUGAUUCAAUGAAUAGAAAAUAAAUUGAAAGAAGUUAUAGGUCAACUUUUUUUCAAUUUGAAGUUUUUAGUUCAGCAUUUUUAUCCAUAAUUUUCGAAGUUUAGCUACUUUUUGAAUUGUUAUUGUCAAAUAAAAAUUUGUUUGAGGCUCCUUAAAUUUGAAAGUUGAGCAAAAGGUCCUACAUUUAGAGAUUUGUUAAUUUUUGAAUGAACCACUCAUCUCACCCUCAUGAUCAAAGUGAAUUACUUACUUGCUUUUAUGAAAAAUUUUUAUUUAAAAAUGAUCUGCCUUCUCAAAUUGAAAGACAAUGCAACACAGUCAUCUUUUUCAUAAUGAUACUGGGACCAAACACCCUGUACUUGAUAAAUGCCUCUAUUUCACUAAAUCAAUUUGCUGAUCCGAAAUAAAUAUCUUCACUUGCUUACUUAUAAAUGAAAAUCUAUUCCCUGACGUGAUAAUCAAUAAUCAUAAGUUGCACAUGAUAUGAAAACAUUUAUUAUAAAUCUAUCUUAUACAACAAAUUUAUUAACGACAUUGUAAUGCGGUGAAAUGGAAAAUAUCCAUGAAACACAUUUACCAAAUACAAUAAUAUAAAUAAUAAACAUUAAAAACUUGAAAUUUCAAAAAGGGAAAGCUCACAACAAAGAUGUCUCCUAGAAACCUCGAGACAUGUAAUAAAAGAAAAAUAAAUAUUGACAUCGAGUAGUACAUGCUACAAACAUUUAUGAAAUUACAACUUUCAUUUCACUCAAACAUCACACAAAAAUCUAAAAAUAAAAGGUACUUCUUCUAAACGUGAACUGAACAGCAAUACUUAGUGAUAAGCUAACCAGAUUAUUUGUCUAGUAAUUGGCACCAUUUUCGAAACAAACGGGUAUCCUGAAUUGAAAAUGAACAAACUAACUACAUAAAACUUAUGCCUGCGGCUGUCGCAAACUACAUAAAUAACAUUCAACAUCAUUUUCCUCAUUUGUACACUCGAUAGUAAAAUGUAAAAACUACAAUAGAAAAUAUAAUCUAUCACAUUUCGAGUAUCA